rnacentral:lncRNA from 1 species
UAUUUUCUUUGCACUGACUUUAGGGAGCCAGCCGCUUCCCGUGUUAGCACUCGGGUGCCAGGUGGCCAAAAACACGGGGCAAAGGUUUUCCUAGUUAAGUCGUGGUAUCCACAGCUGUAGCUCUGAGGAAGGAACAGGGCCAUUUGCGGCACUUCGUGCUGUGUGAAGGCAAGAUUUGCCCUCCAACUCUCGAACUCCCUUCUAUCCUGGGGGUGAGGGCGGGGAGCCUGCUCUUUCUCUCUCCCAAGCUUUAGUAGGAGAGGGAGAAGAGUGUGGGGCCCAGGCCUGGCCCAAGACCCGCUGAGGCAGGGCUGGUGAGGGUCUUGGUAACAGUCGCCGCAGGGUAAUUCGCAGCCUGUACUACAAGGACCCUGAGCAUUCCCCGGGCGGUACCUGAGCAGAUUAGGCCGAACAAACAACUUUCAUAUAGCCUCUGUCACAUUGGGCUAUAUUCCAAGGAUGAAGCCUGUGGUGUUCAAAUGUGGAAAUGGAGCUACAGAGAGCUAACUUUUUAAAUCCCUUGGUGCCCUAUCAUUGAUCCCUACACUGGAGAUUAACAUGGCAGGUCCCUGACUUUAGUCAUUUCCAUUUCACCCCUGUUGAGAUUCUGUCUCAUGAGUAACCUGACAGCCAGCUAGGCCCAACACAGUUUCAUGGGCUCACCACAUGUGAUCUUUUUGUCAUCAAGGGCCAGGUCAUCUCAGCUAUGAGCAAAGGGAGAAGUGUGGGCAUGGAGCUAGGAAGAUGGAGCAGACCCAUCAAGGUGAAAUGAGCAAGUCUGUGUUGUUGGAGAGUGAAAAAGCUGGCCAAAUCAUCUGCACAAUGUCCCUUGCCCAGCAGUUCUGUGUGAAAACCAAAAUCAUGCUUGGAAUUUCCAGAUUUCUCCAGUGCUUGCGGUAUUGAGUCAUUUCUCAAUAAAUGUCAAUAAAUUGUCAAUAAAUGUCAAUAAAUGGCU